rnacentral:lncRNA from 1 species
GGGGGGUCGAGGCAGUACAAACGUUUGAUCAGCAGGGCACGGAUCUUUUUCUUUUUAAUUGCUGGAGUAGGAGGGCUGCGCCCAGUUAACCCACGACAACAGCAAAGCCACAGUCAGCUCCUGAUGACACGGGCUGACUUGUUGCGAAGGAAACGUGUGUGAGAAACAGAGUGGUGGCUUUGUGCCAGCCCAGAGCCACGGAAACGCACACUCUGCAGGGGCAGACAACCGAGAAGCAGCUCUCCUUCACAGGGACUGUGUUAGUGCUACACUUCACAGUACAGUAUGUACAGUAC